rnacentral:rRNA from 1 species
CCUACGGGAGGCAGCAGUGAGGAAUAUUGGUCAAUGGCCGUAAGGCUGAACCAGCCAAGUAGCGUGAAGGAAGACUGCCCUAUGGGUGGUAAACUUCUUUUAUGCGGGGAUAAAGGUGUCCACGUGUGGAUGUUUGCAGGUACCGCAUGAAUAAGCACCGGCUAACUCCGUGCCAGCAGCCGCGGUAAUACGGAAGGUACGGGCGUUAUCCGGAUUUAUUGGGUUUAAAGGGAGCGUAGGCCGGUCUUGAAGCGUGCCGUGAAAUUUCGGGGCUCAACCAUGGGAGUGCGGCGCGAACUGGAGAACUUGAGUGCGCGGGAGGCAGGCGGAAUUCGUGGUGUAGCGGUGAAAUGCUUAGAUAUCACGAAGAACCCCGAUUGCGAAGGCAGCCUGCCGCAGCGGUACUGACGCUGAAGCUCGAAAGCGCGGGUAUCGAACAGGAUUAGAUACCCCUGUAGUC